UACGGAGGAUCCAAGCGUUAUCCGGAAUCAUUGGGUUUAAAGGGUCCGUAGGCGGUUUUAUAAGUCAGUGGUGAAAUCCGGUAGCUCAACUAUCGAACGGCCAUUGAUACUGUAAGACUUGAAUUAUUGUGAAGUAACUAGAAUAUGUAGUGUAGCGGUGAAAUGCUUAGAUAUUACAUGGAAUACCAAUUGCGAAGGCAGGUUACUAACAAUACAUUGACGCUGAUGGACGAAAGCGUGGGGAGCGAACAGG
rnacentral:rRNA from 1 species